rnacentral:rRNA from 1 species
UACAGGGGGUGCAAACGUUGCUCGGAAUCAUUGGGCGUAAAGCGCACGUAGGCGGUCUGUUAUGUCGGAUGUGAAAGCCCUUGGCUCAACUGAGGAAGUGCAUCCGAAACUGGCAGGCUAGAGUACUAAAGAGGGUCGCGGAAUUCCCGGUGUAGAGGUGAAAUUCGUAGAUAUCGGGAGGAACACCGGUGGCGAAGGCGGCGACCUGGGUAGAUACUGACGCUGAGGUGCGAAAGCGUGGGUAGCAAACAGG